UAAGACAGAGGGGGCAAGCGUUGCUCGGAAUUACUGGGCGUAAAGGGCGCGUAGGCGGGAUGGCAAGUCGGUCGUGAAAUCCCUCGGCUCAACUGAGGAUCGUCGAUCGAUACUGCCGUUCUUGAGGAUUGCAGAGGAGACUGGAAUUCCCGGUGUAGCGGUGAAAUGUGUAGAGAUCGG
rnacentral:rRNA from 1 species